GACGGGGCCCGCACAAGCGGUGGAGCAUGUGGUUUAAUUCGACGCAACGCGAAGAACCUUACCUGGCCUUGACAUGUUGGGAACUUUCCAGAGAUGGAUUGGUGCCUUCGGGAACCCAAACACAGGUGCUGCAUGGCCGUCGUCAGCUCGUGUCGUGAGAUGUUGGGUUAAGUCCCGUAACGAGCGCAACCCUUAUCCCUAGUUGCCAGCACAUUAUGGUGGGAACUCUAGGGAGACUGCCGGUGACAAACCGGAGGAAGGUGGGGAUGACGUCAGGUCAUCAUGGCCCUUACGGCCAGGGCUACACACGUGCUACAAUGGCGCGCACAGAGGGCUGCAAACCCGCGAGGGGGAGCUAAUCUCACAAAACGCGUCGUAGUCCGGAUCGCAGUCUGCAACUCGACUGCGUGAAGUCGGAAUCGCUAGUAAUCGUGAAUCAGAAUGUCACGGUGAAUACGUUCCCGGGCCUU
rnacentral:rRNA from 1 species